rnacentral:rRNA from 1 species
ACUCCUACGGGAGGCAGCAGUGGGGAAUAUUGCACAAUGGGGGAAACCCUGAUGCAGCCAUGCCGCGUGUGUGAAGAAGGCCUUCGGGUUGUAAAGCACUUUCAGUAGGGAGGAAGGUAGUGUAGUUAACACCUGCAUUAUUUGACGUUACCUACAGAAGAAGCACCGGCUAACUCCGUGCCAGCAGCCGCGGUAAUACGGAGGGUGCGAGCGUUAAUCGGAAUUACUGGGCGUAAAGCGCAUGCAGGCGACCUGUUAAGUCAGAUGUGAAAGCCCGGGGCUUAACCUCGGAAUUGCAUUUGAAACUGGCAGGCUAGAGUCUUGUAGAGGGGGGUAGAAUUUCAGGUGUAGCGGUGAAAUGCGUAGAGAUCUGAAGGAAUACCAGUGGCGAAGGCGGCCCCCUGGACAAAGACUGACGCUCAGAUGCGAAAGCGUGGGGAGCAAACAGGAUUAGAUACCCUGGUAGGAUAGCG